AGCAGCCGCGGUAAUUCCAGCUCCAAUAGCGUAUAUUAAAGUUGUUGCAGUUAAAAAGCUCGUAGUUGAAUUUCGGGGUCAGUAGGUUGGUCGUGCCACUGGUAUGUACUGGCUUCACUGAUUCCUCCUUUCUGAUGAGCCGUAAUGCCAUUAAUUUGGUGUUGCGAGGAAUCUGGACUGUUACUUUGAAAAAUUAGAGUGUUUAAAGCAAGCUAACGCUUGAAUACAUUAGCAUGGAAUAAUGAAAUAGGACGUUUGAUCCUAUUUUGUUGGUUUCUAGGAUCGACGUAAUGAUUAAUAGGGAUAGUUGGGGGCAUUAGUAUUCAAUUGUCAGAGGUGAAAUUCUUGGAUUUAUUGAAGACUAACUACUGCGAAAGCAUUUGCCAAGGAUGUUUUCAUUAAUCAAGAACGAAAGUUAGGGGAUCGAAGACGAUCAGAUACCGUCGUAGUCUUAACCAUAAACUAUGCCGACUAGGGAUCGGAUGAUGUAUUUUUAAUGA
rnacentral:rRNA from 1 species